rnacentral:rRNA from 1 species
AGACCGAUAGCGAACAAGUAGAGUGAUCGAAAGAUGAAAAGCACUUUGAAAAGAGAGUUAAAAAGCACGUGAAAUUGUUGAAAGGGAAGCGCUUGCGACCAGACUCGCCUCCAGGGUUCAGCCGGCAUUCGUGCCGGUGUACUUCCCUGGGGGCGGGCCAGCGUCGGUUUGGGCGGCCGGUCAAAGGCUCCCGGAAUGUAGUGCCCUCCGGGGCACCUUAUAGCCGGGAGUGCAAUGCGGCCAGCCUGGACCGAGGAACGCGCUUCGGCACGGACGCUGGCAUAAUGGUCGUAAACGACCCGUCUUGAAACACGGACCAAG